rnacentral:rRNA from 1 species
CCUACGGGAGGCAGCAGUGGGGAAUAUUGCACAAUGGGGGAAACCCUGAUGCAGCGACGCCGCGUGAGUGAAGAAGUAUUUCGGUAUGUAAAGCUCUAUCAGCAGGGAAGAAAUAACGUCCUUCGGACUUUGGGCGGUACCUGACUAAGAAGCCACGGCUAACUACGUUCCAGCCGCCGCGGUAAUACGGAGGGGGCAAGCGUUAGCCGGAUUUACUGGGUGUAAAGGGAGCGAAGACGGCAGGGCAAGUCUAGAGUGAAAUCGCCGGGCUUAACCAUGGAACUGCUUUUGAAACUGGGCAGCUGGAGUGCAGGAGAGGUAAGGGGAAUUCCUGGUGUAGCGGUGAAAUGCGUAGAUAUUAGGAGGAACACCAGUGGCGAAGGCGGCUUACUGGACUGUAACUGACGUUGAGGCUCGAAAGCGUGGGGAGCAAACAGGAUUAGAUACCCUAGUAGUC